AUGGCUGUCGUCAGCUCGUGUCGUGAGAUGUUGGGUUAAGUCCCGCAACGAGCGCAACCCUUACUUUUAGUUGCUACCAUUUAGUUGGGCACUCUAGAAGAACUGCCGGUGAUAAGCUGGAGGAAGGUGGGGAUGACGUCAAGUCCUCAUGGCCCUUAUGUGUUGGGCUACACACGUGCUACAAUGGUAUUUACAGUGGGAUGCAAAGAGGCAACUCCAAGCCAACCCUCAAAGAAUACCUCAGUUCGGAUUGUACUCUGCAACUCGAGUACAUGAAGCUGGAAUUACUAGUAAUCGCGGAUCAGCGCGCCGCGGUGAAUACGUUCCCGGGUCUUGUACACACCGCCCGUCACACCAUGGAAGUUGGUUACACCUUAAGGCAAAGUGUAAAACCUUUGACUACGGUACGAUCAGCGACUGGGGUGAAGUCGUAACAAGGUAGCCGUAGGGGAACCUGCGGCUGGAUCACCUCCUUUCUAAGGAAAUCGAAAAAUAUUAAAUCAAUUAUUUUCGAUUUAAAAAAAACCGGUAAUGUGACCGUCCUCAUUUCUCUUCUUUUAGUGUCUCUGAGUAAAAGUGAUGUAAGGGGGCCGGUAGCUCAGUUGGUUAGAGCGCACCCCUGAUAAGGGUGAGGUCGGAAGUUCGAGUCUUCCUCGGCCCACCAAUAUUAUGGGGGAUUAGCUCAGCUGGGAGAGCGCCUGAUUUGCAUUCAGGAGGCCAGCGGUUCGAUCCCGCUAUCCUCCACCAAAAUUUGAGACAUUUAGCUUUUUUAAAUUGUGAAUAAUUUUAUUAUCAAUAUCUAUAUCCGAUUGUUUUCAUAUAUUUUUUUGAAAACAAUCAAAACAAAAAUUUGAAUUUUACACAGAAAGUUUUUUUCUGUGCAUAAAUCAAGCGUUUAAGGGCGAUUGGCGGAUGCCUUGGCACUGUAAGACGAUGAAGGACGUGGUAUACUGCGAUAAGUUUCGGGGAGUUGUAUGCAAGCUUUGAUCCGAAAAUUUCCGAAUGGGGAAACCCGG
rnacentral:sRNA from 1 species